rnacentral:misc_RNA from 1 species
AACGCAUUGAAAAAUCCUCUUCUCUACAUCCAGCCUUCGAUCCACUCCAUAACGCUUCACUUCCUCUUCAUCGCCGUCUGUUUUUUCAACUGCCGGCGAUGUCGAACUGUACCGUCGAGUCUUGUAAAGUCGAAACCAGUGAUGGGGUAAAGCUCCACACGAGGGUUUUCAAGCCAAAAGAUGAGGAAGCGAGGGAAAAUCUGGGUAUUGUUUUGGUUCAUCCUUAUUCUAUUUUGGGUGGUUGUCAAGGGCUUCUGAGAGGAAUAGCCGCUGGGUUAGCGGAAAGGGGUUAUAGAGCUGUGACUUUUGAUAUGAGGGGCGCUGGGAAAUCGUCUGGAAGGGCUUCUUUGACUGGAUUUGCUGAAAUUAAAGAUGUGAUUGCUGUUUGCAAAUGGGUUUGUGAGAAUUUGUCUGUUCAUCGAAUUUUGUUGGUGGGUUCAUCCGCAGGGGCUCCCAUUGCAGGCUCAUCUGUGGAUUUGAUAGAACAAGUGGUAGGCUAUGUUAGCCUUGGCUAUCCUUUUGGCCUAACUGCUUCGAUUCUUUUUGGAAGACACCACAAAGCCAUUUUACAGUCUCCGAAACCAAAACUUUUCGUGAUGGGCACACGGGAUGGG